GCCCCCAUAGUUAAGUGGAUAUAACACAUCCUUGCGGAGGAUGGGUCCGAGGUUCAAUUCCUCGUGGGGGCG
rnacentral:tRNA from 1 species